GCUGCCAUCAGCAGCCCCUGAUUUAUUAUUCAAGCUGGAUACUGGAACUUGCAGUGUGAUUCUGCCAUAUUACUCUGAAUGAAGCAGGUUGUUCUCCGUGCUGUAUGUGACCUCAGCCAGCCACUUUGAAGCCUGGAAACACCCAGGUCUCCUGAGGAGAAAUGUGUGCCUCCAGCCUGGCUUUAGACAGACAGAGACACAGCAUCAAAGUCCUCUUACCAACUGAACUAUCUCCCCAGACUGGAGCCUAACCUUUAAAAGAAAGGAAAAUGGAAUGUCUAUAUCAAGGUGAUAGAAGUUCUUAUUCUUUUCUUCUUUGUCCAUAUGUUUACUUUUUAGAAUGCUCCAGAGCAGACUUUUUGAAUGGCUUGGGAUUCCAAGUUAUUGUCUGGACACCCCUGGCACUCUGGAAUGGGGGCGGGGGGCUAGACUAGAACUCUCCCUGAAUCUCCACUGCCUCAUGAAAUGCAAACGUUCUGAUGGAUGCACAAAUACCUCCAGCUUGCACAUUUCAUGGGUUUAUGGAUUUUUUGUUCUAAUAAAAAACUUUCACAGGUCUUCC